UUUUCCAUAGAAGAUGUCUGCAACAUGAGCCAUGCCCAGCUCCCCCUGAAGCCUGGUGGCUCUGGCACACCUCAGCACACAGGGAUUUGGGGAUAGAAGAGACAGAAAAAAUGCAAUUUUUAAGGCCGCAGUUACUGGUUUUACCUGGAGGCAGGAAGAGCCACUUCCGUCCUGGUCCUGCAGAUGGUGCCAGGGAAGAAGCUGGAAAAUGCCCUCUGAUGUGGAGUUUGUGUAUUGGUUUCUAAGCUGUAGCUACAGGCACCUGAACAAACAUGCUCUCAAUCCAGAUCACUUUGUGAGGAGAGUGAUUACAAGCUUGCAGCAGGUCCUGCUGGCCAUCAGGCAGAGGAAAUCCCACACAGCAGUUUGUCUCUAGAUAAACUCAAGAUGAAACCCAUCUGAGGCACUCCUUUCUUCUGCACAUUUUCUGCUCACGCUGCGUCAAACCCAAUUACCAUCAUUAUCCCAGUUCUGUCACACUCUAUAAACACAAGCCUAAAUAAACCAACCAGCACAGCCAAAUCCUGUGCAAGGAAGGAUCUCGUUAGGGCUCAGCAGAGAGUGCUUUGCAGAAGCUGGGGGCAAAAUGGGAUUCAAGAGUCUCAGGCCUUGCUUUAGCAUCAGAAACAUCUCCUGAGAGCAGCACCUCAUAUUAUCUGUGGUUUUCAGCUUGGCUUGGGGCAAGGGAACUCUCACCUCCCUGAAAUCCGUAGGGUUUCUAACUCUGUGAGCAUGGCACGGGAUUUAAUCAGAGCUCCAAAAUAAAAAUCAGACAAACUGUACCUAACAGUAAGUCCAAAACCCCAGAAGUGUAGAUUUUCAAAGCCUUGCUCUAGCCUCAGGGCAGUAACUGCAUACAAGAGAGUCUGGAUUGAAAAAAAAAAAAAACAACAAACAAAAAACCCUAAAAAACCCACAAAACUCUUACUGAAACCAGCUACAGAGGAGGUAAUUACUCUGUGUAUGUAAAAGGAAAUGCAAGGGGGGGGGGAUAUUUUACCUGCAUCUUCCAGCUCCCCCAGCCUGGGCUGGAUCCAAAGCCUAUAAAAGCCAGGGGAAAGCUCUCAUUGCCUCCAUGAGACCUGGACCAGGUCCCAGCUGCUCUUUUAAUCCGGAGGAAGCAUCCACAUGUUUCCAGAAGGGGAAGGCAUUCUGCAGCAUGCACAGGUGAAUUUUCAUGUAAUUUCAAGGGUAGCAGCUGCUUCAACUGGCUUCAAGCAGAGAGAGGAAUCCAGAUUUUCUGGAAAUCAGAGGCAAAGGAUUUCUGCUCUGGCAGCCAAAACAAUGCAGAGAGACAAAAAAAAAAAAAAAAUCACAUGAAGGAGAUGGUCUAAACAUGCAAUGUGCAAAGUGAGGAGACUCUAAGAGAUUUGCCUGGAACUCUGAAACUGGAUUUCUGCCUGCUGCAAACAGGCCUGGCCAUAUAAUGGGUUUAUUAAUUGACUUCAGCAGGGGUUGAUGAGAUCUAUUUCUUCACUGGAAGCUUGUUCCACAAAGAAAAUGUGCUGCCAACACCCUCACUUCUACCUGCUGCAUUUCUGAGGAACCUGCACCUCAGAUCUCACUUGAUUCUUUUCCCUUGUAUUAAAGAAAUUUGAGAGGUUAUGGCACAUCUGCUGCUGCUCUCUUGGACUUGUUGUAGCCUUUGUACCUGUGGAUUUAACCAGAUGUAGGCUCCACUAAAAUGGGCUAAGGGCAGUGCUUGGUGGGCCUGUGUCCAUUUAGUUUUGGGCUACUGAGACAAGCCCUACAUCUAGUGAUGCAGAAAUGCUAUAGAGCCAAAAAAUAAAUAAUGAGCCAGUGUUUCUGCCGUUUCCCAUCCCAAAUCCCUAUGUGGCCACAAGCUUUCCUUUUAGGGAAAAGCUGUCCAGUGUGCAGUGUGAUAAUGCAAUGUGAGAUAUUGGAGCUCUUGGUUUUCCUUGUAAUCAAGUCUGGAAUUCAGCCUUUCUGUGAGUGUUUUAUUAUCCUCUCUGGUGAUAAAUAUCUUUGUGUGCAUGGUGUGAGCUCUGUGGAAGGUGUUUGCUGGGGGAAGGAUGGCCCUGUGGGAAAAUGAUCGAAGUAUGAACUCAGACUAGAGCGAUCUGGCUUUACUGCAGCUCUGUCUGUGCAACCACAGACAAAUAACUUGAUUUCCCCAUUUUGUUCAGGUUCUGCACCCUUUGCUCACACAGUGAGGCCUAACAGCCCCGUCUCAGUUUGGUGCAGGUGCAGGUUCUUGCUACAGGACUUGCUGUGGUGUCGGCUUGACUCUCUCCAGCUCUGCUGGGUUUAUGCAGGAUGCCAUACACAUAUAUAUUUCCUUAGGGGGUAGCAUAAUGGACACCAAAAACCCCAAACUGUAGCAAUGCUCAAUGCCAGAGAGUCCCCACACAACGAAGAGUGUUCAUUCUUUUCCUUUAAAACAUCUGUGGGAAGUAAGGUGGCGUAAAUAGUGGCAAAGCAAGGCCCUGUUCAUACAAAAUUAAAUAACAAAUUUUAUUUAAAAAGUUAAAAGAAAAUAAAUUAAAUAAUAAAUAAUAAUUUUUGUGUUCUUCUUAUUACCAAGCGACAAAGAAGAGAAGCAUCUUGUCCAUGGCUUGUGUUUCUUUUUGUCAGAACCCAUCGUAGCACCACUUGGUGACUGAUUGGGGCAGUAAAAAUUCCUGAGCUACACCUGCAAUGCAUUAAAAGACACUGGUAGAAGAGCCAGCACCCAAAAAAUGCAGUAACCAUGCCAGCACCUGCCAGAUUGGCUUGGCCUUCCCAGAGUUGUACUGCACACAAGAAGAGUUUGUCAUUCCAAUACACAAAUUAUUGCCUUGCUAGACUUCGUUCCUGGGGACAGCUGUGUCUCGGUGACAGGUGAAAUUGCAUCAAGUGUAUUUCUCAAUGCUCAAAUGCAAACUGAGCCCUUGCUCAUUUACAUGCCUGUGGCAUCCAGCUGCUUGGUGUAUUUUUGGAGCAAAAGCCACACUCAGCCACAGAAAUGCUUUCCCUUUGCUGCCUCUUUGUCUUUUUGAGCCCCACGAAACUCA